GAGGAUGAGAACCUCCGGGGGCAAGAGGUUCGACCCGAGCGAAGCGAGAGAACGUUGCUUCAGCAACGGCCCGCAGGGCGAGCCACGCAGUGGCGAGUCAUCCUC
rnacentral:sRNA from 1 species